CUAUUAUGGAGAGUUUGAUCCUGGCUCAGGACGAACGCUGGCGGCGUGCCUAAUACAUGCAAGUCGAGCGGAGUUGAUGAGAAGCUUGCUUCUCUGAUACUUAGCGGCGGACGGGUGAGUAACACGUAGGCAACCUGCCCACAAGAUCGGGAUAACAUUCGGAAACGAAUGCUAAGACCGGAUAAACAGUGCUCUCGCAUGAGAGGGCUGGGAAAGACGGAGCAAUCUGUCACUUGCGGAUGGGCCUGCGGCGCAUUAGCUAGUUGGUGAGGUAACGGCCCACCAAGGCGACGAUGCGUAG
rnacentral:rRNA from 1 species